rnacentral:lncRNA from 1 species
UGUGCUUCCAUCAUUUAAGUAAAUCUAGUUUUCCACAUGAUUGAACAUUUGGUCCUGAAACUGCAUGAGCAUGAGACAUGCCAUUUGAAACUGAAUUACCUGCCUGCAGACAUGAUUGACAUUAGUGCCAGGUUGCAUUGAUGAGGUCAGGCCGGUAACUGGAGUUGGAUAAGCAGUCAUGCUUCCAUUAGAAUUUUGAAAAGCUACAAACGCCUACAUUUACAAAGGAAGGUCAAUGCAAGAAUGAAAGGCUUGGUUAUUUGGAAAAGUGGAGUUCGAGCAGAUAUAGUAAGACCAAAGAAAGAAGUAUGCCAGAAAGCAAUGUGGGUCAUGUGUUUAUAUUCAGAGGGAUAUUGAUGUCCAAAGGGCCUUUUGGCUUAAGGUUGUCGUGCAAUCACGGGAAAUGGAGAGAAAAGGUUGUGCCUUUGCAAAGACAUUGUGCUGUUUCUGUUCUUGAUUGUCUGAGAUCAGGUUUUCAGGAUGAAGGGUAUUGGACAUUUCAGGAUUCUACUUUACAGGUGGGCUCGUGUAGAUAAAGAACACACAUCAUCAAAUCCUUGAAGUAGAAAUUCAAGGACAAAAUAAAGUAUAGCUUUAUUCAAGG